AGAGUUUGAUCCUGGCUCAGAACGAACGCUGGCGGCAUGGAUUAGGCAUGCAAGUCGAACGUGAAGCUCAAGCUUGCUUGAGUGGAAAGUGGCGAAAGGGUGAGUAACGCGUGAGUAACUUACCCCCAAGUUGGGAAUAACCCUUCGAUGAGGGCUAAUACCGAAUGUGGAUAUUUAAUCGCAUUGAAUAUUUAAAGAUUUAUUGCUUGGGGAUGGGCUCGCGUCCCAUUAGUUAGUUGGUAAGGUAAUGGCUUACCAAGACAAUGAUGGGUAGCUGGUCUGAGAGGACGAUCAGCCACACUGGGACUGAGACACUGCCCAGACUCCUACGGGAGGCUGCAGUCGAGAAUCUUCCGCAAUGCGCGAAAGCGUGACGGAGCGAUGCCGCGUGCAGGAUGACGGCCUUCGGGUUGUAAACUGCUGUCACCGGGGAAGAAUAAAUGACGGUACCCGGAGAGGAAGCCACGGCUAACUACGUGCCAGCAGCCGCGGUAAUACGUAUGUGGCGAGCGUUGUUCGGAUUUAUUGGGCGUAAAGGGUCCGCAGGGGGUUUGUUAAGUCUGAUGUGAAAUCCCGGGGCUCAACCCCGGAACUGCAUUGGAUACUGGCGAACUAGAGUAUCGGAGAGGAAAGUGGAAUUCCAGGUGUAGCGGUGGAAUGCGUAGAUAUCUGGAAGAACACCAAUAGCGAAGGCAGCUUUCUGGACGAUCACUGACCCUCAGGGACGAAAGCGUGGGUAGCAAACAGGAUUAGAUACCCUGGUGGUCCACGCCGUAAACGUUGUGUACUUGAUGUGGGGGGAUUUAGUCCCCUCCGUGUCGGAGCUAACGCGUUAAGUACACCGCCUGGGGACUACGGCCGCAAGGCUAAAACUCAAAGGAAUUGACGGGGGCCCGCACAAGCGGUGGAGCAUGUGGCUUAAUUCGAGGCAACGCGAAGAACCUUACCUGGAUUUGACAUAUACCGGACCGCCUGUGAAAGCAGGUUUUACUUUUGUACUGGUAUACAGGUGUUGCAUGGCUGUCGUCAGCUCGUGCCGUGAGGUGUUCGGUUAAGUCCGGCAACGAGCGCAACCCGUGUCGUUAGUUGCUACCAGGUAAUGCUGGGCACUCUAGCGAUACUGCCCGUGUUAAGCGGGAGGAAGGCGCGGAUGACGUCAAGUCCGUAUGACCUUUAUAUCCAGGGCUGCACACGUGCUACAAUGGUUGGCACAAUGGGACGCAAUACCGCGAGGUGGAGCAAAUCCUGAAAACCAGCCUUAGUUCGGAUUGUAGUCUGCAACUCGACUACAUGAAGUCGGAAUCGCUAGUAAAGGCGUAUCAGCUACGACGCCUUGAAUACGUUCCCGGGCCUUGUACACACCGCCCGUCACAUCAUGGAAGCUGAUUGGACCCGAAGUCGUUGAUCUGACCCGCAAGGGAGGAAGACGCCGAAGGUCUGGUUAGUGACUGGGAUGAAGUCGUAACAAGGUA
rnacentral:rRNA from 1 species